rnacentral:rRNA from 1 species
CCCUGGCUCAGGACGAACGCUGGCGGCGUGCCUAAUACAUGCAAGUCGAGCGAAUGAUAGAGAAGCUUGCUUCUCUUGAUUUAGCGGCGGACGGGUGAGUAACACGUGGGUAACCUACCUUAUAGUUUGGGAUAACUCCGGGAAACCGGGGCUAAUACCGAAUAAUCUAUUUCACUUCAUAGUGGAAUACUGAAAGACGGUUUCGGCUGUCGCUAUAAGAUGGGCCCGCGGCGCAUUAGCUAGUUGGUGAGGUAAUGGCUCACCAAGGCAACGAUGCGUAGCCGACCUGAGAGGGUGAUCGGCCACACUGGGACUGAGACACGGCCCAGACUCCUACGGGAGGCAGCAGUAGGGAAUCUUCCACAAUGGGCGAAAGCCUGAUGGAGCAACGCCGCGUGAGUGAAGAAGGAUUUCGGUUCGUAAAACUCUGUUGUAAGGGAAGAACAAGUACAGUAGUAACUGGCUGUACCUUGACGGUACCUUAUUAGAAAGCCACGGC